rnacentral:rRNA from 1 species
UUUUCAAACCUUGACCUCAAAUCAGGCGGGACUACCCGCUGAACUUAAGCAUAUCAAUAAGCGGAGGAAAAGAAACUAACAAGGAUUCCCCUAGUAACUGCGAGUGAAGCGGGAAGAGCUCAAAUUUAAAAUCUGGCGGCUUCGUCGUCCGAGUUGUAAUUUAGAGAAGCGUUUUCCGCGCCGGACCGUGUACAAGUCUCCUGGAACGGAGCGUCAUAGAGGGUGAGAAUCCCGUCUUUGACACGGACGACCGGUGCUAUGUGAUACGCUCUCGAAGAGUCGAGUUGUUUGGGAAUGCAGCUCAAAAUGGGUGGUGAACUCCAUCUAAAGCUAAAUAUUGGCGAGAGACCGAUAGCGAACAAGUACCGUGAGGGAAAGAUGAAAAGCACUUUGGAAAGAGAGUGAAACAGUACGUGAAAUUGCUGAAAGGGAAACGCUUGAAGUCAGUCGCGUCCUUCGGGAUUCAGCCCUCGUGGUGUACUUUCCGUCGGACGGGCCAGCAUCACUUUUGGUCGCCGGAAAAAGGCGAGGGGAAUGUGGCACCUUCGGGUGUGUUAUAGCCCCUUGUCGGAUACGGCGGUCGGGAGUGAGGACCGCCUAUUAUUGUAGGAUGCUGGCGUAAUGGCUUUAAACGACCCGUCUUGAAACACGGACCAAGGAGUCUAACAUGCCCGCGAGUGUUCGGGUGGUAAACCCGUGCGCGUAAUGAAAGUGAAAGUUGGGAAGGCUGUCGUGGCCUGCACCGACGCCCGGACCUGAGGCUUGCCGACGGUUCUGCGGUAGAGCGUGUAUGUUGGGACCCGAAAGAUGGUGAACUAUGCCUGA